AACGAACGCUGGCGGCAGGCCUAACACAUGCAAGUCGAACGAACCUUCGGGUGAGUGGCGCACGGGUGCGUAACACGUGGGAAUAUACAUUUCGGUAAGGAAUAACUCAGAGAAAUUUGGGCUAAUACCUUAUAAUGACUCCGGUCCAAAGAUUUAUCGCCGAAAGAUUAGCCCGCGCUAGAUUAGUUUGUUGGUGAGGUAAGAGCUCACCAAGACUACGAUCUAUAGCUGGUCUGAGAGGAUGAUCAGCCACACUGGAACUGAGACACGGUCCAGACUCCUACGGGAGGCAGCAGUGGGGAAUAUUGCGCAAUGGAGGAAACUCUGACGCAGCCAUGCCGCGUGAGUGACGAAGGCCUUAGGGUUGUAAAGCUCUUUCAGAUGCGAAGAUAAUGACGGUAACAUCAGAAGAAGCUCCGGCUAAAUUCG
rnacentral:rRNA from 1 species